ACAGCAGUAGCCGCGGGAAAACGGAGGGUGCAAGCGUUAAUCGGAAUUACUGGGCGUAAAGCGCACGCAGGCGGUCUGACAAGUCAGAUGUGAAAUCCCCGGGCUUAACCUGGGAACUGCAUUUGAAACUGUCAGGCUGGAGUCUUGUAGAGGGGGGUGGAAUUCCAGGUGUAGCGGUGAAAUGCGUAGAGAUCUGGAGGAAUACCGGUGGCGAAGGCGGCCCCCUGGACAAAGACUGACGCUCAGGUGCGAAAGCGUGGGGAGCAAACAGGAUUAGAUACCCCGGUAGUCCCUGUCUCUUAUAC
rnacentral:rRNA from 1 species